UCCCUGGUGGUCCAGUGGCUAAGACGCAGCACUCCCAAUGCAGGAGGCCCAGGUUCAAUCCCUGGUCAGGGAA